rnacentral:rRNA from 1 species
GAUGAACGCUGGCGGCGUGCCUAAUACAUGCAAGUCGAGCGAACGGACGAGAAGCUUGCUUCUCUGAUGUUAGCGGCGGACGGGUGAGUAACACGUGGAUAACCUACCUAUAAGACUGGGAUAACUUCGGGAAACCGGAGCUAAUACCGGAUAAUAUUUUGAACCGCAUGGUUCAAAAGUGAAAUACGGUCUUGCUGUCACUUAUAGAUGGAUCCGCGCUGCAUUAGCUAGUUGGUAAGGUAACGGCUUACCAAGGCAACGAUGCAUAGCCGACCUGAGAGGGUGAUCGGCCACACUGGAACUGAGACACGGUCAAGACUCCUACGGGAGGCAGCAGUAGGGAAUCUUCCGCAAUGGGCGAAAGCCUGACGGAGCAACGCCGAGUGAGUGAUGAAGGUCUUCGGAUCGUAAAACUCUGUUAUUAGGGAAGAACAUAUGUGUAAGUAACUGUGCACAUCUUGACGGUACCUAAUCAGAAAGCCACGGCUAACUACGUG